rnacentral:rRNA from 1 species
UACGUAGGGGGCAAGCGUUGUCCGGAAUCAUUGGGCGUAAAGAAGCUCGUAGGCGGUUCAGUAAGUCGGGUGUGAAAUCUCCGUGCUCAACACGGAGCGGCCACCUGAUACUGCUGUGACUCGAGUCCGGUAGGGGAGUGUGGAAUUCCCGGUGUAGCGGUGAAAUGCGCAGAUAUCGGGAGGAACACCAGUAGCGAAGGCGGCACUCUGGGCCGUGACUGACGCUGAGGAGCGAAAGCGUGGGUAGCAAACAGG